rnacentral:rRNA from 1 species
UACGUAGGUGGCAAGCGUUGUCCGGAUUUAUUGGGCGUAAAGGGAACGCAGGCGGUUUUUUAAGUCUGAUGUGAAAGCCUUCGGCUUAACCGGAGAUGUGCAUUGGAAACUGGAAGACUUGAGUGCAGAAGAGGAGAGUGGAACUCCAUGUGUAGCGGUGAAAUGCGUAGAUAUAUGGAAGAACACCAGUGGCGAAAGCGGCUCUCUGGUCUGUAACUGACGCUGAGGUUCGAAAGCAUGGGUAGCGAACAGG